UACAGAGGGGGCAAGCGUUGUUCGGAAUUACUGGGCGUAAAGGGCGCGUAGGCGGCCUGUUAAGUCGAACGUGAAAUCCCCGGGCUCAACCCGGGAACUGCGUCCGAUACUGGCAGGCUUGAAUCCGGGAGAGGGAUGCGGAAUUCCAGGUGUAGCGGUGAAAUGCGUAGAUAUCUGGAGGAACACCGGUGGCGAAGGCGGCAUCCUGGACCGGUACUGACGCUGAGGAGCGAAAGCGUGGGUAGCAAACAGG
rnacentral:rRNA from 1 species